AAGAGUUGUUUGCUUCAGAAAUGCACUUUGCCUGAUAAACUCCCAGAACAAUAACUGUGUCCCUCUCUAGGUGUGCACUUGUUUGUGCCAUGAAGAAUUGGGCACAGAGUGCUGCUGACACACAGCUUUCAAAGCAAAGGAAAAUCAUUAUUCAUCAUGGAUCUAGUCAAACAUCUCACGACCACAUCCAUAGCACGUACUUUGACCAAAAAGUCUCUAUAAAAAAGCUAUAG
rnacentral:lncRNA from 1 species